rnacentral:rRNA from 1 species
GAUGAACGCUGGCGGCGUGCCUAAUACAUGCAAGUCGAGCGAACAGACGAGGAGCUUGCUCCUCUGACGUUAGCGGCGGACGGGUGAGUAACACGUGGAUAACCUACCUAUAAGACUGGGAUAACUUCGGGAAACCGGAGCUAAUGCCGGAUAAUAUAUUGAACCGCAUGGUUCAAUAGUGAAAGACGGUUUUGCUGUCACUUAUAGAUGGAUCCGCGCCGCAUUAGCUAGUUGGUAAGGUAACGGCUUACCAAGGCAACGAUGCGUAGCCGACCUGAGAGGGUGAUCGGCCACACUGGAACUGAGACACGGUCCAGACUCCUACGGGAGGCAGCAGUAGGGAAUCUUCCGCAAUGGGCGAAAGCCUGACGGAGCAACUCCGCGUGAGUGAUGAAGGUCUUCGGAUCGUAAAACUCUGUUAUUAGGGAAGAACAAAUGUGUAAGUAACUAUGCACGUCUUGACGGUACCUAAUCAGAAAGCCACGGCUAACUACGUG